rnacentral:rRNA from 1 species
AGACAGUUCGGUCCCUAUCUGCCGUGGGUGUAGGAGACUUGAUGGGAGUUGCCCCUAGUACGAGAGGACCGGGGUGAACGAUCCACUGGUGGAUCUGUUGUUGCGCCAGCAGCAGUGCAGAGUAGCUAUGAUCGGACAGGAUAACCGCUGAAGGCAUCUAAGCGGGAAGCCCCCCCAGAAACAAGGUCUCCCUUGAGGGCCGUGGAAGACCACCACGUCGAUAGGUCGGAGAUGUAAGUGCUGUAAAGCAUUCAGUUGACCGAUACUAAUUGCCCGAUAGGCUUGAUUUG